rnacentral:tRNA from 1 species
GCAGUAGAACUGACAAGCACAAACCUAGAAUGACUACACGGAUGUCCUCCUCCCUAUCACACAUUUGAAGAACCAACAUAUAUCAACCUAAAAUAAGCAUAAGAAAGGAAGGAAUCGAACCCUCUCCCACUGGUUUCAAGCCAACGUCAUAACCACUAUGUCUUUCUCGA